rnacentral:ncRNA from 2 species
CGUGGUCCAACGUGCGACAAUUCGCCGGUAAGGCGAUGACGAUGCAGGAAUCCGGUGCGAAUCCGGAGCGGUCCCGCCACUGUUAUCGGGAGUGAGCCUCACCCGAGAGCCAGAUACUGGCAUCGUCGUCGCACCCUC